rnacentral:rRNA from 1 species
UACGUAGGGUGCAAGCGUUGUCCGGAAUUAUUGGGCGUAAAGCGCUCGUAGGCGGUCUGUCACGUCGGCUGUGAAAACCCGAGGCUCAACCUCGGGCCUGCAGUCGAUACGGGCAGACUAGAGUUCGGUAGGGGAGACUGGAAUUCCUGGUGUAGCGGUGAAAUGCGCAGAUAUCAGGAGGAACACCGGUGGCGAAGGCGGGUCUCUGGGCCGAAACUGACGCUGAGGAGCGAAAGCGUGGGGAGCGAACAGG